rnacentral:rRNA from 1 species
GACGAACCGUGCGAACGUUAUUCGGAAUCACUGGGCUUAAAGCGCGUGUAGGCUGCUCUGCAAGUCGGAUGUGAAAGCCCUGGGCUCAACCUAGGAAGUGCACUCGAAACUGCGGAGCUUGAGUCUCGGAGAGGAUCGCGGAAUUCUCGGUGUAGAGGUGAAAUUCGUAGAUAUCGAGAGGAACACCGGUGGCGAAGGCGGCGAUCUGGACGAUGACUGACGCUGAGACGCGAAAGCGUGGGGAGCAAACAGG